rnacentral:rRNA from 1 species
CGCGAAGCCGCGAGGUGGAGCUAAUCCCAUAAAACUAUUCUCAGUUCGGAUUGUAGGCUGCAACUCGCCUACAUGAAGCCGGAAUCGCUAGUAAUCGUGGAUCAGCAUGCCACGGUGAAUACGUUCCCGGGCCUUGUACACACCGCCCGUCACACCACGAGAGUUUGUAACACCCGAAGUCGGUAGGGUAACCUUUAUGGAGCCAGCCGCCGAAGGUGGGACAGAUAAUUGGGGUGAAGUCGUAACAAGGUAGCCGUAUCGGAAGGUGCGGCUGGAUCACCUCCUUU